ensembl:lncRNA
UUUUGCCUUUGUAAGUGAACUCUGGAGUAACUACUUGUGUUUGUGGGCAGUGCAGUUGCAGAGAGAGAAGGCAGUCAGCUGCCUGGACACAGAGUCCUAUCCCUCCUUUGCACCAGCAGCUAUUCCAGACACACCAAGCCGUGGACCCUCUGACAGCACUCUUUGCUAUUGUAUCUGUCAGGGAAGUGUUCCUAACAGACGUGGCCUUGGCAGCAAUCCUUGCUUACCAACAUGCCCUUGUGAGGUGCUCUUUUCAUGCCACCUCCCCCGAAUUGUCUUUGUAUUUCUGUUUGGCAGUCGUCAUGUUCUUUCUCUUCUAGAGACUCUCCUUUAGGAAGUAUGCUCCAUGGUUCAGUUACUCACAAGAAGACUGAUGGCUGGAAGAAAACCAACAAAAGCCCAAGCAGGCUAGCAGGAGGUUGGCUGACAAGGUGUUAUGGAGUUCUUAGCAUCUCCAGCUCCCAUUGCUACGUAGAGGAAUCCAGGGGCACUGAGAGCCUCUGGAAAAUACUCAUAGAAGAGUCCUCCAAAAAAGGAAGAGAGAUUUUCUAUGAAGCUAUUCUAUGGUCCCGUAAUUACCUGUACAGUCUGUAAGUGCAUCCACAGGUUCACACGGGACCCAGAAACUCUCAGAAGAUAAUGAUAUAUCAAAACCUGACGUUUCUGGGGAAGAAUGUAGUUCAAUCUGUGUGUUUUCACUCCAGUUAGAAAAACUGUAUGCAAUGUCACGUUAACUUCAUCUCCCACUCCAGUGACGCUAUUUCUCCUUCAACCACAUACCCACAGACUCUGCUCUUAUUCCCUGAAGCGGAUAACAGAGAGCUUGGAGCCCAAGGUGCUGAAACGUAGGAAGAAACAUCGCCUCCUCCUGUAGUUCAUGGCAAGCAGGGCUGUCAUAUCUGGGCAGCUAAGCAGAGAACAAUGGCAUCUGCAUGGAAAGCAGCUGGGAACGGCAAGUGGGAUACAGAAAUAUUGAGAUUCUGUUGUUUUUCUAAACGCAACAGGACAUAAGUGGCAUACAUGACUUACAAACAUGACUUAGAAACCAUCCCAACUAUCUACUGUCACUCCGCUUUUAGUCCCACACUGACCUGCACUUCUUAGUACUUUGGAAAUGAGAUUGCUGCACACGUGGAACUUUAGCAACUGCAGGAGGAAACUUGCAAAAGAAGGUCAAGCCGACAUGAGGGCCUUCCUGAGAAGAGCCUGGGUCUUUGCUUGCAGACAGGAUUACAGCUAAAUCAGAAAUCAUGCCCUUUAGCAGGAGGACAUGUAUGAUCUGCAGCAGCCGGAAAACCUGUCUCUUUAGAAGCCACAGUCUUCCAAACUGUUAAUGCUGACAAUGAUGCAGCAAAACUACUAUAGAUUUCCAGAGGCUAAUUAUGAACAGGUGAUGAUUUGAGCAAAAAUUCAGAAAUCAAACAUUGAGCUCAGUUUGAGCUCAUUUAGGUUGCUAUUCAGCAUCAGUAAAAUAUUUAUAAUGCACAAACACAAUGAAGUUUUAUGUAAACCUGCUUUUGAGGGGAAAAAAAAAAGAUAACUACAAAUAAAAGAGAAAAGAAUUUGGUUUAAUAAGUUCUCCUUUACAUGCAAAUUACCUCCAAGCAACUGAUAAAGGUAAACACCACUAACUUAUUUAGGGAGAAGUGGCAGCCCAUAUGGGUUAGACCAGUGAGCUCUACUGAUGUCAGAAAUACAUCCCCAGGUCAGAGCAUGGCCAAGCAAGUAGUAAAUUCAGGCUGAGAGCACUGGAUGCUGGGAGAAGGCAGGAGAAGCACUGGUGAGAGCUUUGCAUCUCUUGGAAAGCACUGUGGAAAUGUUUAAUUUGCAUGCAAAAAGAGAUGCAGAUGGCCCUUCAAUGUAAUGGUUAGCCUUGACAUCUUUGAGAGUAUCUCCAUUUUAUCUAUAUGCAUUUGUAUUUUUCUCCAGCCUGUAAAGGGAAGGAGGAGGCUGAAGUCCCACCACCAUAUGGCAGAGGAGAAAUGGAGACAUCAGCAUCUCGCCGGUAUGGUUUGCAGCGAGCAUUCGCCCUACCCUAUAAAUGCAAUGGGAGACUUAAGCCCAUAGCUGACAUGGAAAUGAAAGUUUUGGUGAAUGAGUCUUCUUGAAGUAAUAAAUGCAUUUUCUUGCUUCUUAGCAAAAUACAUCUUCUCUUAUCUUCUGACAUCACCUGAUUAAACCCUUUACUGCAGGAGAAGGGAGCCGCACGCUCCCCGCUGAAGAAGAGGAAAUGCGCCAGGCUCCAUUUUAAUUGGAUAAUUGGAGAAAGAAAGUUAGUAGCAUUGGUGAGCAAUGUCACAUGAACCUAAUUGCCAAAUUCCUGGGUUUGCUUACACGGGUUUGUUUUCUUUUCAUUUUGCUG